rnacentral:rRNA from 1 species
GAUGAACGCUGGCGGCGUGCCUAAUACAUGCAAGUCGAGCGAAUGGAUUAAGAGCUUGCUCUUAUGAAGUUAGCGGAGGACGGGUGAGUAACACGUGGGUAACAUGCCCAUAAGACUGGGAUAACUCCGGGAAACCGGGGCUAAUAUCGGAUAACAUUUUGCACCGCAUGGUUCGAAAUUGAAAGGAGGCUUCGGCUGUCACUUAUGGAUGGACCCGAGUCGCAUUAGCUAGUUGGUGAGGUAACGGCUCACCAAGGCAACGAUGCGUGGCCGACCUGAGAGGGUGAUCGGCCACACUGGGACUGAGACACGGCCCGGACUCCUACGGGAGGCAGCAGUAGGGAAUCUUCCGCAAUGGACGAAAGUCUGACGGAGCAACGCCGCGUGAGUGAUGAAGGCUUUCGGUCGUAAAACUCUGUUGUUAGGGAAGAACAAGUGCUAGUUGAAUAAGCUGGCACCUUGACGGUACCUAACCAGAAAGCCACGGCUAACUACGUGCCAGCCGCCGCAGUAA